rnacentral:rRNA from 1 species
AUUGAACGCUGGCGGCAGGCCUAACACAUGCAAGUCGAACGAGUGGCGGACGGGUGAGUAAUGUCUGGGAAACUGCCUGAUGGAGGGGGAUAACUACUGGAAACGGUAGCUAAUACCGCAUACCAUCAGAUGUGCCCAGGUGGGAUUAGCUGGUUGGUGAGGUAAAGGCUCACCAAGGCGACGAUCACUAGCUGGUCUGAGAGGAUGACCAGCCACACUGGAACUGAGACACGGCCCAGACUCCUACGGGAGGCAGCAGUGGGGAAUAUUGCACAAUGGGCGCAAGCCUGAUGCAGCCAUGCCGCGUGUAUGAAGAAGGCCUUCGGGUUGUAAAGUACUUUCGGCGGGGAGGCGUUACCCGCAGAAGAAGCACCGGCUAACUCCGUGCCAGCCGCCGCGGUAAUAC